GUGAGACAUAUUAUCUAAUAAAAAUCAUGCAAUCUAGCUUGUUCACUUUGUAACGUAUAAUAACUGGAAGUUGAUCAAAGAAAACUACUUUCAUUUUCAUUACUACAUUGUUCCUAUUUUUAUGAACAAAAUUUAAAAUGUAUGAUAAAAAUCCAAUAUACGGUAAUUGAAACAUACAGUCUGACCUCACAUUGCUCUGAUAAAUCUGUUCAUUUCUGGCCAUUUUCAGUGUUGCUAUAGUGAACAGUGUUGACAAGGGGAUGAAAAAAAGCUUAUAAAUGGAAUUUUGAUCAUAGAUAAAGCUGAACAUAAACUAUCUCCCAACAUUUCUGCAUGUUGGGAGGCCCGGUUUGUGCCACAGAUGGCCAUCUCCCAAUAAUACAUAAAACAUUUCUUGUUGGAGCUCGGCACAUGUUGUUGAAUGCACAGGUCAUCUGAACAGAACAAUAAUUCAAUUCACUUAAUAAUGACCUCACUGGGAACAAACACAGACACACGAUGAUGCUGUUAGAAGAACAAAACCAUACUAGAGUUUUAAAAAUGAAAUUCUUAAAAAGUCGCCAUGCUCUUGUGAAAAUAGCACUUAAAUAUAUUCAGUGUUUAGCGACCAGGCAGGCUCACUGAGUUUAUUUUAGGCUCUUGAAUUUUACUGCAGUGUUGCUGCCAUGUUUUCUCCAUUUUCAGGCUGGUAGCUUUCCUGGAAAGGUCAGUGGUGCCCACUGAACCCUCUAUUGGCUUAUUGGCUGAGCUCAUUGAUGAAGAAGCCUUGAGUACAUCAUUUUUUCUUCUCAAAGAGCUGAGAUGGCAGUCCAUGAAGAAUGACUGCAGAAAGUUUCAGAAGGACACAUGGGAAUCAUUUAACCAGACCAAUAAAACCUGCUAUUUAUAUUACAAGCUAACCAUCACCUGGAAGGAAGAAAUGUUGGGCAUGGCACUAACUGAUGUGUAUAUUUACCGUGAAGUUUACCCCAGGUGAAAAGAGGAAACCAGCUGUGUGAAUGGAAUUUGGAGAAAGGGCACAACCAUCAGACGAAGUGGGAGGAAGAAACAUUAACUUCAACAGCUGUUUCUUGACCCCGGCUGUCAGUCUUCCCAAGAAUAAAUUUUGGAGAGUCCUAUUUGAAACAAAGAGGGAGUUUUGGGGGAGAGAAAAGUUGGUUGGUUCCAGGGCGACCGCCCAAAGGAGCUGGGAACAAGAUGUUGGCAGUUACCACGCAGCCUGCCUGCCUCUGCCGGGUGCAGAGAUGGAGCAAAGUAACUUGAAAGCUCCCCUCUCGGCGCCCUGUGCCUGCAGCUUCCCCCCCUAACGCGCGCCCAGAUCCAGCGCCGGUGGUAAGAGCCGUAGCUCGACUACAGUAAUUCCCCAGCUCGGGCGGCUUGAAACUGCUCGGGCUGAAUAGCAUUUGCUGUUCCGUCCUGUGGCCGCCUCCCGCCGCCGCUGCCGCGCUCCCUGCAAAGCAGCUCUCAUUAUCCCGGAAGUUGUGCUGACACAGUCUCGCUGCCACCAGAAGUUUGUCAACAUCAAACUUCUCCUGUGUGGGGUACGUUCACCUUCCACGAGUAUUUAAUCGAGCCAACAAGCAAACAAACAAA
rnacentral:lncRNA from 1 species